AUGGGCUGGUGGGCCCAUCUUCCAGGUGCUGUGAGUGUUGACUGCAUGGCUCAUGGAUGCCUUGCCUUAGUCUCUGGUCUCCUUUUGGACCUUGGAGACAACAUUGAAGGUGGUUCAAAGAGCAGCCAGCCAGCAAGGGACUACGGAAUUCAAGUCCUGCACCACAGUUGCUGGCUACGUGAGGCUGGGUUACCUCUUGAGGCUCUCUGGGCUGUUAUUUUAGCAACAUGAAGACCUAGAAACAUUUUCCUUGUCAAAGACCUUUGGUUCUAUGAGGAUUUGUGGACUUCGGUAUUUCAACGUGGGGGCCUAGGCUCUAUGUGUAGGAUAUUUGGGGUGCUGCAGCUUCAGCAGGCAGCUCUACAGGCAUGCUCCCUGCCCUCUUGAAACCUGCAAUCUGGGGAUGGACUCCUGUUCACACCUGACCUAGGCUCUCUCAGAAAUAGUUGAUGAAUCUUAUGAGACCAUCUGAUCUCUGGCUCUCAUUAGUGGUGUGUCAGGGCCGGGCACAGUUGCUCAUGCCUGUAAUCCCAGUGCCUUGGGAGGCUGAAGCAGAAGGAUUAAUUGAGACCAGGAGUUUGAGACCAGCCUGGGCGACAUGGCCAGACCCAGUCUCUAAAAAAGCAAAUUUAAUUUUUUAAUAAAGCAAAAACAAAAUUAAAAUUAGAACA
rnacentral:lncRNA from 13 species